ensembl:lncRNA
AUUCCCCAUCUGAAGACUGAGACAUUGAACUGUGAUCUUUAUCUUUUUUUUUUUUUUUUAAAGCUCCUGUACACCUGACCAAAAGCAGUGUGCAGUAUUUUCUGUAACUAAAACUAAAUCCAGUUCAAUGGUUUGCCUCUGAAAAAAUUAGUAUGACCUUUCUCUUGCUAACAUACCCAGGACCAAAAAUUGUCUUCUAAUCACACCUGCCAGGGCAUAAAUCUUGUAUUUUGCACAGCUUGCCAUGGGCUGAGUGAAGACUGAGUUUGAAUUGAAAAAAAGCCUUAGUUUCGUGCAUAUCCUAUUUCUAGGUGACAUUUCCUAAGCAUCCUGUACACAUGAGCUGUCUGAACACAUCUUCUGGAGCAGAUGAUGUGGGCAGCCACCCAGUAGGAUGUUCUCAGUGAACCUUUGGGGCCACCCACUGUCCCCUACCAGCCCAAAAUACUCCAUGCAAUAAGUCAGCAACCAGAUGGCUGUGACUCCAGAUUCCAUGACUCCUUCUGUCCCAUCUAUUUAUUGUCUUGGUUAUUGUGUGUGUAGACAGGUAGGCAGGGACAUGGGGAGGGUCUCUUUAGGGCUGCUGUCUACUUUGGACCAGGAUCAACAAGAAGUGCCCAGUGCCUGAUCUGCAGUAAUUGUCAUGGUGACAACACCCUCUUUGUCACUUCUUUACAACAAAGCUGUAAAUUUGACUUCUGCAAAUACAUCUGGAGCCACAACCAUUCAGGCAGAUUGUUCUUAUGGGUAUGAGCCCUGGGUGGUUGGAGUUGCCGCAGGGAUACCAACCUUACUGGUCUUCAUCCUUGUAGUCAUCUUGGUACUGGUCUGUGUUCACCAGGGGACAAACUGCAGCUGGAAGCAGAAGAGCCAAAGUCCCAAUGUGCAAGAACAACAUGAAUAUGAAUCAUCCCCUCCCAGACCUUCAGAAGACUUUUAUAUAACCAUGAUGAAGGGGACAACAAAUAUCUAUGUAAAUGAAGAUCAAGAAAAAUAUCUCAAAACAGACAUCCAAACACAAGCGAAACUCACAAGGAUGAAUAAGCCCAGAGGAGAACCACCUGUAGUGGAAUCCUUUUAUGAAAAUCGUCUACCUUAUAACUGAAAGAAAAGCACCAAGGAGUGGCCGGGAACAAAAACAGCAGGCAGAAAUAUUUCCUUGGUCACCAAGGGUCACAUGGCUGCAUUUUAUGGAGAAGAGAGUUUUCUUUUUGUGCAUACAUGUGUUUCUACAAAAGACAGGACAAAGAGACAUUGGAUGAAGAAGGAACCUGUUUGAACUGAUGCCUUUGAGAUACAAAAGCAAAAUGAGACUCCCCAGGAGUACCGAAACUCAAAGAGAUGGUUUUGCUGUCCUAGUAAAUUUAGGUUAAUUCAAUCUAAUAAAGAACAGGUAAAUCUUUGCA